CAUAAUGAAUGCACAGAGAACUGUAUAGCUCAGCCUUGCCUACUCUGAUGCCAUCCAGAUAUGUUGGACUAGCAAUGGCUAUGCUGGCCGGGGGAUUCUGGGAGUUGUAUCUAUACCCGGGAGCUUUGGGAUCACGCAGAAACUGGUUGAUAUUGCCUCUGAAUGGAGAAGAGUGUGAAGCAGGAAAAGAAAAGUAUCUCGGGUAUGUGAAAAAAACGGACAGUGAGCUGCAAUGAUUCCACGCUUCAGACAAAUCCCGCUGGAAUGUUUUUAUGGCCUGUGCUGCUAGAAUAUUUUUUAUGUUCUUUGUUGGUUCAUAUGACUCUAAAAACAUAUUGUUAUGGAUGUAAGCUGCCAUGUUUGGCAAGAAAUACUGCUAAGUUCUUUAGAUUUCAAAAGAACAAGAAGACUUCAAAAACUGAACAAAACUCUAAGAAGCUCUAUGAUGCAGGAAUAAAAAAGGGCAAGUAGAGAGUGAGUCAAGAAUGUCGGUUGCUAGAUUUGGCAAAGCUAAAUUCACUAGCAUCUCUCCAUGACAAAGGUCCCCAACCUUUUUGAACCAGUGGACAUAUUUUGAGUUUUGAUAAUCUGUUAUGCGCACUCUCACAAAAUGGCUGCCUUGGGGGGACUUGCACAUUCACAAAAUGGCUACCACGGGGGACAUGGACAAUCACAAAAAAAACAUUUCCAAGAAAGCAAACUGGUGAUACGAAAAGAAACAUAACUAGUCCAAGAACCUAAGUACAAAGUAGAGGUGGUGACUGAGGUUCAACACACAAAACCAUUCUUUUGAACCCAAAAACAAAAGGUGCUGGAGGGCAUUACUUUGCCUUGCCACAUGGCAGUCAAUAUAUAUGUGUGUGCGUAUAAGUGUGUGUGUGUGUGCAUAAAAUCUUAUGAAAUAAAAUAAGGAGCAGAGAGUCUGGUGCUGCCUAAGGCCACCACAUUGGAGACCCCAGAUCCAUGAGCUUUCUGAUCAACCUGAGUAUGAGCUGUGGAAAGUAGCUAUCUUUUGAUCAUGGACCCACGUGCACGGGAACAAUGUUUAUAGCCAAAGAGAAGACUACAGAAGGGAAAAUGAGGCAUUUUGCUAGACUUGCCUCCUUGGCUGAAGCACGUUUCCAUGCUGUCAUUUACUCGAAUUGUUAAAGAGAAAGAAGGGGGAACAACCUAAAAAAAGAAUGGGCACCAUUUAUGCACAACUCUAAAAUAAUUGGACUUUAUUACUGCAAAGGCAACAGAUCAAACAGAAGAAACAAAGCCACGCUGCACGUCCCCUUGUGUAUUAGAUACAUCUAUAUAAGUUACCAAUACAGUGUUAAUCAUAUACAAUAAAACAGGGUUAAAGAAAAAA